CAAAACACGCUCCCAACCACCCUCUUCGGGAAUUGGGAUGCGGCAUAUGGUCCCUCGUCCUGCAAGGGGCGGUGGGCCGAAGAUCGGGCUGCCGGCGUACCGCGUCGGACACAGCGCAUGGUGGGCGUCCUUGCUUUAUCAAUGCAGUGCAUCCGACGCGUAGACGGCAUCAUGGCCUCGAAACGACCCAUCGAACGAAGUGCACNNNGCUUCGACC
rnacentral:rRNA from 1 species